UCACAUACUGUAUAUUCAUUUACUAUAAAUAUAUAUGAUUCAAACAACUCAUACAGAAGAAGGAAAUUUUAGUUAUCAGUAAGAAGUAUAUAAGUUUUAAAAUCACUAUUUCCAGCAAAUGUUGUUUUCACUCUUAUUAGCUUCAUUGAUUCAUGAGACAAAAACGGUGCCACAGUUGAGUCUGAGCUGUUCAUACUGUAACUUGUUUCAAAACGACUAACACGCAUUCAUACCUUCAUGCUUUCACAAAGGCACAUUGACACCUACAAAUUCCUGUACAUAUGCAUGUAUAAGCAUGCACAUACACACACAUACACAUACAAGUACUGAGUACCUGACAUGUGCACUAAGAUGCGGGUAUUCAUGUUCUCAUUAUUAGUAUCUCAAAAAACAGGUCUUCAAUAACAUGGCUUGAUACCCCAACUCUGGUCCCUGCCACAUGUAUAGCUAUACACUAACUGUUUUUCUCUAUAACAUGAGUGGAAAAUCAGUGAUGUCAUACCAUGCGACGCAUCACAUGAACAAAAAAUGCAGUACACCUUUAAACUGGUAACCAGGAAAUACAGUAAUUAUUUUAUGCCGUUGUUACACGAAGCCGAAAUACUGAGUUUAGCGAGGGAAAAUUAUAAAUGCAUAUAAAUACAAAUAUUGUUUCUAUAUUUAUUCUUCCGUAAUUGAGAAGAUACGUUUGUAGGAUUAAUUACUCUAGCAACCACAUGAUUCAAUGGUGUCGUGAACGACAGAUUCAUACGGACAAUGUUUUGCAUUCGAUUUAUAGUAUAAGUUUGACUGUAUAUGAUUAUACUACUCACAACCUAGUACAUACACGUGCGUGCGGGAGUGCUUAUGUCUGUAUAUACAUGCAAUGCUUCGCGUAAAUGUAAGCGAAUGUUUGUUAUACAUGUGAAUCCAUGUGAUUUAAUAUCCCUAAGUGAAUGAACAAUUCCGUCCAAAAGAUCUAUAGAAAGACUCAAAAAUAAUAUACAAGUGGCUCAGCUAUGAACGCUGGUAGCUCUUCUGUAAUGGGUGGUGGUGGUGGAGGUGGAAGAAGUGGCAGGAAAUGGAGAGUGCCUGAAGAUGAUACUUUGCAAAUUGUGGAUCCAAGGCGGGGCAAGGGUAAGAUGCAGAGAUCUGAUGUUUAUCCAGGAUGCAGACAACAAAUCCAAAAGAAUGAAACAGGUUCAUAUCACAGGUGCUUGAAUGCUUGGAAUAAAUGACUCUAUAUUAAAAUAAAGCUAAUUCUUAUAUUAUAUCUUUUAAACGAUUUCAUAUAUAUAUAUAUAUAUAUAUAUAUAUAUAC